GACGAACGCUGGCGGCGUGCUUAACACAUGCAAGUCGAACGGAAGGGCCCUGCUUUUGUGGGGUGCUCGAGUGGCGAACGGGUGAGUAACACGUGAGUAACCUGCCCUUGACUUUGGGGUAACUUCAGGAAACUGGGGCUAAUACCGGAUAGGAGCUCCUGCUGCAUGGUGGGGGUUGGAUAGUUUCGGCGGUUGGGGAUGGACUCGCGGCUUAUAAGCUUGUUGGUGGGGUAGUGGCUUACCAAGGCUUUGACGGGUAGCCGGCCUGAGAGGGUGACCGGCCACAUUGGGACUGAGAUACGGCCCAGACUCCUACGGGAGGCAGCAGUGGGGAAUAUUGCACAAUGGGCGGAAGCCUGAUGCAGCAACGCCGCGUGCGGGAGGACGGCCUUCGGGUUGUAAACCGCUUUCGCCUGUGACGAAGCGUGAGUGACGGUAAUGGGUAAAGAAGCACCGGCUAACUACGUG
rnacentral:rRNA from 1 species